GAUGAACGCUGGCGGCGUGCUUAACACAUGCAAGUCGAACGGUGAACACGGAGCUUGCUCUGUGGGAUCAGUGGCGAACGGGUGAGUAACACGUGAGCAACCUGCCCCUGACUCUGGGAUAAGCGCUGGAAACGGCGUCUAAUACUGGAUAUGUGACGUGCCCGCAUGGUCUGCGUUUGGAAAGAUUUUUCGGUUGGGGAUGGGCUCGCGGCCUAUCAGCUUGUUGGUGAGGUAAUGGCUCACCACGGCGUCGACGGUUAGCCGGCCUGAGAGGGUGACCGGCCACACUGGGACUGAGACACGGCCCAGACUGCAACGGGAGGCAGCAGUGGGGAAUAUUGCACAAUGGGAGCAAGCCUGAUGCAGCAACGCCGCGUGGGGGAUGACGGCCUUCGGGUUGUAAACCUCUUUUAGCAGGGAAGAAGCGAAAGUGACGGUACCUGCAGAAAAAGCGCCGGCUAACUACGUG
rnacentral:rRNA from 1 species